rnacentral:rRNA from 1 species
ACCUCAAGUCAUGUGAGAUUACCCGCUGAACUUAAGCAUAUCAAUAAGCGGAGGAAAAGAAACUAACAAGGAUUCCCCUAGUAACGGCGAGUGAAGCGGGAAGAGCACAAAUUUAAAAUCUACCUGGUUUUCAGGUCGAGUUGUAAUUUGAAGAUACGUUUUUGAUGUUCCAGGUUGGACUAAAUCCUUUGGAAUAAGGUAUCAUAGAGGGUGAGAAUCCCGUAUAUACCAACCGUAGGGAUGUUAUUAAAUACGUUUCUAAGAGUCGAGUUGUUUGGGAAUGCAGCUCUAAAUGGGUGGUAAAUUUCACCUAAUGCUAAAUAUAAGCGAGAGACCGAUAGCGAACAAGUACAGUGAUGGAAAGAUGAAAAGAACUUUGAAAAGAGAGUUAAAUAGUACGUGAAAUUGUUGAAAGGGAAACGAUUGAAGUCAGUCAUGCCGGUGGGAAUCAACUUAGGGGAAACUCUAGGUGCACUUCUUCGCUUGGCAGGUCAACGUCGAUUUUGAAUGUCAUAAAAUAAUUGGGGGAAGGUAGCUCCUUCGGGAGUGUUAUAGCCUUUGAUAGAUGUGAUGUUUGGGGUCGAGGAUUGCAACGAAUACCCUUUGGGGCUAGCCGCCUGAUCUCUAAUCGGUGUUGGGUUAUGGAUAGCAUGCUGACCGUGAUCUAAUUACUGGUUAAAAGGUUAGAGCGUGCAUAAAUUCGUUAAGGACGUUGACGUAAUGGCUUUAAACGACCCGUCUUGAAACACGGACCAAGGAGUCUAACAUGUAUGCGAGUGUUAGGGUAUUAAACCCAGACGCGAAAUGAAAGUGAGUGUAGGUGGGAUCCUUUNUUNNNGCACCAUCGACCGAUCUUNAGAUUUNNNNNNNNNNNNNNNNAGAGC